GAAGGCAGGAGGAAAGGACAUCCAUCACUCAAUCACACACCAGUGUACUCAUUAAAGCCUUUGAGAAGGACCCUCAACAUUUUCCAAGAGAAUUCCUUUCCUGGAAUCACCAUUAUAGAGAAACUGGCUAAACAGACAGGCAUUUCAGAGUCCAAAAUUUACAUUUGGUUUCAGAACCAAAGACCUCAGCUCCCAGGCCACAGCAGAAGCGGGCU
rnacentral:lncRNA from 1 species